rnacentral:rRNA from 1 species
UACAGAGGUGGCAAGCGUUUGUUCGGAAUUACUGGGCGUAAAGGGCGCGUAGGCGGCCAUCUAAGUCAGACGUGAAAUCCCCCGGCUUAACCUGGGAACUGCGUCCGAUACUGGCGAGGCUUGAAUCCGGGAGAGGGAUGUGGAAUUCCAGGUGUAGCGGUGAAAUGCGUAGAUAUCGUAAGGAAGACCAGUGGCGAAGGCGAGUUUCUGGACGGUAACUGACGCUGAGGCACGAAGGCCAGGGGAGCAAACGGG